rnacentral:tRNA from 2 species
AUCCUAGUAGCUCAGCUGGAUAGAACAACGCCCUCCUAAGGCGUAGGUCGGGGGUUCGAAUUCCUUCUGGGACGCAA